GACGAACGCUGGCGGCGUGCCUAACACAUGCAAGUCGAACGGACUUAACUCAUUCUUUUAGAUUGAGAGCGGUUAGUGGCGGACUGGUGAGUAACACGUAAGCAACCUGCCUAUUAGAGGGGAAUAACAGUGAGAAAUCACUGCUAAUACCGCAUAAGCUGUGAGUAUCGCAUGAUACAAGCAGAAAAGGAGCAAUCCGCUGAUAGAUGAGCUUGCGUCUGAUUAGUUAGUUGGUAGGGUAACGGCCUACCAAGACGAUGAUCAGUAGCCGGACUGAGAGGUUGAACGGCCACAUUGGGACUGAGACACGGCCCAG
rnacentral:rRNA from 1 species